rnacentral:rRNA from 1 species
CAGGUAGUAACAGAGGUCACGAUUAUGGCUCAGAUUGAACGCUAUGAUGUUUUACAUGCAGUUUGAACGCAGCACGGACUUCGGUCUGGUGGCGAGUGGCAGAACAAGAGUAAUGUAUCGGAACGUGCCUAGUAGCGGGGGAUAACUACGCGAAAGCGUAGCUACGUACCGCAUACGCCCUCGGGGAAAGCGGGGGACUCCUUAAAUUUCGCACUAUUAGAGCGGCCGAUAUCGGAUUAGCUAGUUGGUGGGGUAACGGUCACUCGGCUAUGACGCGAUCCGUAGCUGGUUUGAGAGGACGACCAGCUGGCGUAAUGGGGACUGGAGACAUCAUUCAGACUCCUACGGAGGCAGGGGAAUUUUGACAAUGGGGGAAACCCCUGAUCCAGCCAUCCUGCGUGUGCGAUGAAGGCCUUCGGGUUGUAAAGCACUUUUGGCAGGAAAAGAAAUGGCACGGGAUAAUACCCCGUGCAACUGACGGUACUGCAGAAUAAGCACCGCUAACUACGUGCCAGCAGCCGCGGUAAUACGUAGGGUGCAAGCGUUAAUCGGAAUUACUGGGUUAAAGCGGCGCAGGCGGUUCGGAAAGAAAGAUGGGAAUCCCAGAGCUUAACUUUGGAACUGCAUUUUUAACCUCACUGAUGAGUAGGCCGAGGGAGGUGACUCGCGUGUGUGUGCGAAAUGCGUAGAUAUGCGGAGGAACACCGAUGGCGAAGGCAGCCUCCUGGGUGAUAACACCUGAUGCUUUAUGCACGAAAGCGUGGGAGCAAACAGGAUUAGAUACCCCGGUAGUCCACGCCCUAAACGAUGUCAACUAGCUGUUGGGGCCUUCGCCUCACAGUAGCGCAGCUAACGCAAGCUUUUGACCGCCUGACAUGGCCUGCAAGAUUAAAACUCAAAGAAUUGAUUGGGACCCGCACAAGCGGUGGAUGAUGUGGAUUAAUUCGAUGCAACGCGAAAACCUUACCCACCCUUGACAUGUCUGGAAUCCCGAAGAGAUUUGGGAGUGCUCGCAAGAGAACCGAACACAGGUGCUGCAUGGCUGUCGUCAGCUCGUGUCGUGAGAUGUUGGCAUUAAGUCCCGCAAAAUGAGCGCAACCCUUGUCAUUAGUUGCUACGAAAGGGCACUCUAAUGAGACUGCCGGGGACAACCGAGGAAGGUGGGGAUGACGUCAAGUCCUCAUGGCCCUUAUGUGGAGCCAUAUCGUCAUACAAUGGUCGGGACAGAGGUCGCCAACCCGCGAGGGGGAGCCAAUCCCAGAAACCCGAUCGAACCGUGACCAGCAGCCUGCAACUCACCUGCGUGAAGCUGAACGUGCUAGUAAUCGCGGAUCAGCAUGUCGCGUGAAAUACGUUCCCGGUCUUGUACACACCGCCCGUCACACCAUGGGAGUGGUUUUACCAGAAGUAGCGUGCCUAAUCCGUAAGGAGGGCGAUUACCACGCAGGAUUCAUGACUGGGGUGAAGUCGUAACAAAGGUAG